ACUGCUCGGUGCUCGCUAACUUUCUCUCAAUGAGAGCUUGUGCUUCAGUGAUGAGAAAAGCAAUUUCUGUACAAACCCAUGAAGUGUCUUGAGGGACUGGUUAUUUCGAAGCAUCUCCUGGCGCUGCAAAAAGUGGGACAGUCUUCCUUUUCCUGUUAGAUUUUUACUGUGAAUGGAUUUUGAAGACAAAAGCUGGCUGGAAGAGCGAGCUGCGUGGCACCAGAGGGACCCGGUGAACGUACCUAUCAGUGGGGCUCCUAGAGCAUGGGCCAGCUCCGGUGGCAUGCCCAAGGCGCAGAUGGAUGCCUUGAAGAUGCCGCUGUGUUGAUCACGGUGUUUGAAGUGGGUCUCGCCUGUAUCAGCAUAAGUGAAUGAAAUGGCAGGGCUAUCCAAGACCUUGUAUGAGCACAGUCCCAGGCAAAUCUGCAUUCAUAAUCCGAGGUAUUCCUAGGGAUAUUUGUCUAAGAAGGCUGCAUUUCAAAAAGAUAUCAAGACUGAUAGACACCCAGAAUCACAGCUUUGUCCCAUCCCAUCCUGUCAAUACCUCUCUGAAGUUUUCUAACAAUAAUAAAAAUCCCAGCUGUGGAAAAUCCACAGCUUUAUUUCUUUUUUCUUCCCCCUCUCCCCUGCCGAACUCCCUCGAGUAUGACAUCAGCUUAAGCACUGUUCAUUUAGGAUCUUCAGCUUUCAGUGCCAG